AAACUUGGCUUAUUAUUAUUAUUAUUAAAAUAUUUUAAUUAUAUAAAUUUAUUUUUUUCUUAUUUGUUAUAAGAUUUUUUCUUAUUUAAUAUGUUCUACUUAUUUUUAAUAUGUAUUUUAUUUUGAAGUUAUUUCUCUUUUAUUAUAUUUAAAAAAUCACAAAAGAACAAAGAAAAUAUAAUAAAAACAAUAAAAACAAUUCUAUCACCUUAAAAUCAAUCCAACUCAUCAAGUUCAUUUUUAUUCCGCCGUCGUGCGAUGAAAUCUCUUUUUUCACAAAUUAAAAUCAACUAUACACACAAAUAUUUUCUAUCGAACUAUGAGACUCUGAGUCUCUCAUUGUACCUGAGGAUGCGUAGGAGCGGGGUUUUGAAAUUCCCUCGAGUAUAAUAAUUAAAAAAAAUCUCUUCCUUUGUAAAUAACUUCUAUCUUUUUUUAUGAAUAAUUUCUUGUC
rnacentral:lncRNA from 1 species